GAUGAACGCUGGCGGCGUGCUUAACACAUGCAAGUCGAACGGAAAGGCUCCUGCUUGCAGGGGUACUCGAGUGGCGAACGGGUGAGUAACACGUGUGUGAUCUGCCCUGCACUUCGGGAUAAGCCUGGGAAACUGGGUCUAAUACCGGAUAGGACGAUGGUUUGGAUGCCAUUCUGGAAAGUUUUUUCGGUAUGGGAUGAGCUCGCGGCCUAUCAGCUUGUUAGUGGGGUAAUGGCCUACCAAGGCGUAGACGGGUAGCCGGCCUGAGAGGGCGUACGGCCACAUUGGGACUGAGAGACGGCCCAGACUCCUACGGGAGGCAGCAGUGGAGAAUAUGACACAGUGGGGGCAAGCCUGAUGCAGAGACGCCGGGUGGGGGAUGACGGCCUUCGGGUGGUAAACUCCUUUCGCUAGAGACGAAGCGCAAGUGACGGUACCUAGAGAAGAAGCACCGGCUAACUACGUG
rnacentral:rRNA from 1 species